UGUGCUGUGAGGAGGAAGGGACAGGAGGUUGUGGAAGGGAUAGAAAGGGUAAGACAUUGUACAAGGGACAGACGUGUUUAGGCUAGGGACAGGAAGGUGUGAGGUGGAACUGCAGAAGGAAGGUAGAAGAAGGACAAAAAGAGCCAGAGCUGUUUGGAGCUACUCAUGGGACUGCAACAUAGAAAAGGCAUCCUGAUGAAUCAGACCUACUAAGGAAAAUGCUAAAGCAGAUACUUCAUUUGGAGCACAUGAAUAAUCCUACACCAAUAUUUGAAGGCCGGGACUUUUUAGAUCCAAGAAUUUGCUGGAAAACUCCAACGAGGUCAUUUUGAGGAGCUGAGCAAGCAAAGGCUGUGCAGUAUUGCUGGACUCCUGACUUGGUUGGUGGGAACAUCUUCUGGUUUGGGUUCCUUAAGCGAAAACAAGCUUCUGAAGGGCACCAGGGUAUUUCCUUCUGUGUAUUCUCUUCCUCCUCCACGCUGCUGCUUCUCACUUCAGAGCAGCUGUUAAAACUGUUUCCCCAUCACCAUAUUCCCUCUUCCCACCAGAAGUAACUCAGGAUGAAGCCGCCAGGUUUUCUCUCCUGCCUGGAUGACUUUUCAGAUCUCACAUCUGACACACAGCACAGAAACACAGCAAUCCUGGUGAGAGGAGAUUGACAUCUCAGGGUGUCCUGAGGGGUUUGAAAGGACACACAUUCAUUUUACAUCCCAGGCCUGAGCAGCUGGACUUGCUUUCUGGCCCACUGACUUCUUGGGCAACAGGGCUAAAAGCAAGAAUGAACUGAUAACCAAGUGCUACCACCACCUCUCAAACCACAAGCUUUUCUCCAGAAUGCUAUUUUACAUCAGAAUUAUUCUGAAAACCGGCUUGCACUGAACAGCUAAUGGUGAGCAGUUGAAGCUGAGAGGAAGUAAGCUGAGGCUGACCUACAGAGGACACACAGCAGUGAGCUGCAACAACCAGCCCCAGCAGGGAGAUGUGCAGCAAAGGCUUCCUGGCUGUAUCCCAGGUUCCCAGCUGCCCACCUGCCACUGCUGCAGCACAAGUAGAAAUGCUACCUGAAGACCACUGAGUGGUUUGGACUCUGCCAGGUACACCUGUGUGAGCAUGGAUUUUUGGCCAGGUAGUUUGUUUUGUGGUUCUCUGGUGGGUUGUUAUGCUUGGCUUCCUGGCAGUGAUACUAUUUAUUGCCUUUAGUACUGUUUGAACCCAGCUGUGGUGGUUUUGCUGUGAUAGUGCCGGAGUGAGGUAUUGCAAAGACUGCUUCUUGAUGGCCUUGUGAAAGCAGAGAUGAGAGCAAGUGAUGUUAAUAAGAGGGAGAAGCUAUGUGCUUGGGUGUAAAAUCUGUUUUUAAAACCAAGAUGCUCACUGCACUCUGAAGUGCGUUGUUGCUGCCAGGGUUUGACCCAGUUCUCCGUUCAGCUGGCCUAGCUGGUUCUGGGAAACUCCUCCUCCUUUCAUUGCAAAUACAACAUCAGCUGAAAUAAUCAGGCUCCAUGCUGUGAAUUGAAAACCAAAAAGUCCCCUCUGACAUUUAUCUCUGUCUUCAUUCCUGGGGGAAAAAACACAGGCACACAAACCCCUCCUAAUGAAAAUCAGACAGUGCGAGCAAGUGGCUCUGAAGCAAAGUUUUUCUGCUCCUAAACUGUACUUCAAGUCAUUACAAGCUUUGCUUGCCAACCUUACAGUAGCUGAAGCAGUAUGUACAGCCUGUGAUACGCAGACUGGAGUAAAACCUUCUUCAUGACAUUUUGUUGUAUGGGAAAGCUUGAGUUUUUGGAAGACGCUCCGAUAACACAAUAUGGAAAGCAUGCUAUCUUAGCAUUUCCU